UCUUAUGGAUAAGCAAAGAAAGUAGUUUCUUGAGAUGUAAUCUACUCCUAGUGAAGUGCUGUGGA
rnacentral:pre_miRNA from 1 species